GGGGUGGGGUGGGGGUGGGGGUGGCAUGGACACAACUCGGGUUGGGUGCUGCGUUUUGUUGUUGUUUCGGCCUUCCGGGUUGACCUGGUGGGGGGGGAGCAAAUACACACGAGCCACACUUCCCGCCCCCUUCCCCACCCCCAUCCAAAACACCGAUCCUGGCAGAAAGGGAGGAGAGGGAAGGGUGGGUCGUGUGAACGCCGGCGGCGCCCGCCCCCUAGCCGUGGAGAGGCGUCAGGGCGCUUUGGCCUUUGGCACGGGAAGACGGGGACGGGCUGGGGCAGCGGAAACACGUGUCUGCUCUUCUGCAACCCCUACCGUUGGAAUGCAGGAGGAGGUUUGAUUCCCUAAAACAGUGGCGUGCACAGUUCCAAGUCCCCGCCCUGCUGCUUGAACAAACAGAUCGGUUGACAGCUCCGUCUCUACUCCCUGGAUUCCUAAGCUGGAUGGAUGAACUGGCGGAGGCUCCCUCUCUUGAGAGACAGACACCCAUGGAGCAAUACGGCUACAGGAUUCCAGAGCAAUCGUGCAUGUCAAGAGAACCGUCUUGAAUGGCAAGGGCAACAUCUGCCUUCAUUGUUGUGAUGAAUUGAUGGUCCCACACAUCCAUCACUCUGCUCAGCUGUCAAGAAAGCUCCCAGAUCUGUAAAAUGAGUGGGUUGUGUGUGUGUGUGUGUGUAUGUGUGUGUUUUAAAUUUCUCCUUCCAUCGUGUUUUAUAAAAAGGAAAGGAAAAAUGCAAAUCCAAAGAAAGACUAAGUUAUGCUGUGUUGCUGAGGUUGCAGGACCUCAUAGAUGCAGCUGCUGAUCUUCCAGAGGCCAUGAUCAAGGCCCUAAGGAACAAUUUGUAGAAGUGUUUGCCUUCAUUUUGGCAUUUGAAGAUUUGGAAAUCUGGAAAGUUUUUGAACCUUCGGGUUUUGGAAUUUCCCCUCCAUGGGAGGAUGUGUCUGCCCCCUCCAUGACUAAGUCCACCGACAACUGGGCAUGACGUUUCAUAGAACUAGAUGUUUAAUGCUGCCUUUGGUAGGUUUGCCUGGGAGGAACCUUUCUGGGCUUGGGAUGACUGUCAAUCUCUCUAGCACUAACCAAUCAUUCUCUCUUGCCUCUGAUUUCAAAGAGGACCCCGCCUCUCUGCUCAGUGCUUUUUCCCUCUCUAAAGCCUGCUGAAAUCUGUUGCUAAAAUAAGUCACAUCCAUCAGUUUGCUGUUUGAUCUGUUCACUUGUAAGUAAAUGUAAGUAAAAAAAAACUUUGUCCAGCUAAUGUCUCAUAGUGCUUCAUUGAGACUG
rnacentral:lncRNA from 1 species